CAAUAGCGUAUAUUAAAGUUGUUGCAGUUAAAAAGCUCGUAGUUGGAUUUCGGGGCAGCCUGGCUGGUCCGCCGCAAGGCGAGUACUGGUCAGCCGCCCUUCCUCUCGAAAGCCCCGACUGCUCUUCGUUGCAGUGGUCGGGUAGUUCGGGACGUUUACUUUGAAAAAAUUAGAGUGUUCUAGGCAGGCCUACGCCUGAAUACAUUAGCAUGGAAUAAUGGAAGAGGACCUCGGUCCUAUUUUGUUGGUUUCCAGGGCCGAAGUAAUGAUUAAGAGGGACAGUUGGGGGCAUUCGUAUUUAAUUGUCAGAGGUGAAAUUCUCGGAUUUAUGAAAGACGAACAACUGCGAAAGCAUUUGCCAAGGAUGUUUUCAUUAA
rnacentral:rRNA from 1 species